CCACAGGAUCAAUCUAGAUGAUGGAGAUGUUGGGAGGACUUGAUGUUUCUGGACCAGUCUGCCAAUAGAAACCCUAGCAGGAGCUGAACUCCAGACAGCAGAGCUCCCAGCAUCCUCUGAGCUCACAAAUCCUCCACCACUAUAAGGUGGCAGUUAAAGGAGAGACCACAUGGUUGGUCCACACCUGGAUUCUCUUUGUUCUGCUGCUGCUGCUUCCAUCAAAGUUACAUGAGCUCUGGUUUGUUCUGAUGCUGUUCAGGAACUGGUAACAUCUCUAUAGCUGCUGCUUCAUCAGGAGGAACUGAGAAGUUUGGAUUCUGCCUCCUGCGCUGUCUAGAGAUUAGAAAACCAAGAGCAGCCACAGCAAGAAGUAUCACACUCCCUACUGAUCCUACAAUGACUCCAUCCUUGUCGCCUCCAUCUCCAGUGAUUCCACCCUUGUCUCCUACAGACAGAGAUAUCAGAGAUAUCAGGUGUUUGAACAUCAGUCAGAUCAGCUGUUUUCUCCAAAGUCUCAUCAGCAACAUCUUUAUAAACCACAAACAUCUGAUCUGAGACCAAGCAGCUUCAUCAGAGACACAAACUGAACUCUCAACACAAACUCAC